AGAGUUUGAUCAUGGCUCAGAGCGAACGCUGGCGGCGUGCCUAACACAUGCAAGUCGAACGUGAACGGGGGCAACUCCUAGUAAAGUGGCGCACGGGUGAGUAACGCGUAGGUAAUCUACCCUAGAGUCUGGAAUAACCGGCCGAAAGGCUGGCUAAUACUGGAUAGAGCGACGAGAUCCGUAAUUGGGUCUUUCGGGAAAGGGGGGUCUUUAAGGGCCUCUCGCUUUAGGAUGAGCCUGCGUCCCAUUAGUUAGUUGGUGGGGUAACGGCCUACCAAGACGAUGAUGGGUAGCUGGUCUGAGAGGAUGAUCAGCCACACUGGAACUGAAACACGGUCCAGACUCCUACGGGAGGCAGCAGUGGGGAAUCUUGCGCAAUGGGCGAAAGCCUGACGCAGCCACGCCGCGUGAGUGAAGAAGGCCUUCGGGUUGUAAAGCUCUGUCGAGCGGGACGAAAAGGCAUUGCACUAAUACUGCAGUGCUCUGACGGUACCGCUAAAGGAAGCACCGGCUAACUCUGUGCCAGCAGCCGCGGUAAUACAGAGGGUGCAAGCGUUGCUCGGAAUCAUUGGGCGUAAAGGGUUGGUAGGUGGUCUCAUUUGUCAGGGGUGAAAUCCUUGGGCUUAACUCAAGAAGUGCCCUUGAAACGGUGAGACUGGAGUCUUGGAGAGGGUCGCGGAAUUCCCGGUGUAGCGGUGAA
rnacentral:rRNA from 1 species